rnacentral:rRNA from 1 species
AUGUCAGACGCGUCGUCGGAUCUCGGCGGCGCCCGGGCGGGGCCGCUGCCCGUCGUCGAGCGCGACCUCGAGCAGGCUAUCACUGCUCUCAAGAAAGGAGCCUACUUAUUGAAAUAUGGGCGUAGAGGGAAGCCGAAAUUUUGUCCAUUUAGGCUAUCCAAUGACGAGUCUGUAUUGAUAUGGUUUUCAGGGAAAGAGGAGAAGCAUCUAAGGUUGAGCCAUGUGUCCCGGAUAAUGCCUGGCCAACGGACUGCAAUAUUUCAGAGGUACCCACGACCUGAGAAGGAAUGCCAGUCCUUUUCUCUAAUUUCACAUGACAGGUCACUGGACAUCAUAUGUAAAGACAAAGAUGAGGCAGAAGUGUGGUUUGCUGGGCUGAAAACGUUGAUUUCACGAAGUCAUCAAAGAAAAUGGAGAACCGGCUCAAGAAGUGAUACCAUUUCGUCUGCUGCAACUAGUCCAAGGACUUUCACGCGACAGAGUUCUCCGUUGAGUUCUCCUUUCAGCAGCAGUGACAGUCUCCACAAGGAUUUCAACGAAAACUACCGGUUCCGUAGUCCAUAUGGGAGUCCACCAAAGAAUGGCUUGGAGAAGGCCUUUUCUGAUGUUGCGUUAUAUGCAGCUCCCCCCAGGGGCUUCUUCCCAUCAGAUUCUAAUGCAGCAUCAGUCCACUCUAUGUCUUCUGGACAAUCAGAUAACACAAAUGGGAAUUCCGGAGGUAUCCCAAUGGAUGCUUUCCGGAUCAGUUAUUCAAGUGCAGUUAGCUCUUCAAGUCAUGGUUCUGGUUAUGAUGACGGUGACGCUUUAGGUGAUGUUUUAAUAUGGGGAGAAGGAACCGGGGAAGGAAUUCUUGGUGGUGGAAACUCAAGAAUUGGAAGUUCCUCAGGUGCAAAAAUUGAUUGUCUUGUACCUAAACCAUUAGAGUUUGCUGUGCGGCUUGAUGUGCAGAAUAUAUCUUGUGGAGGAAGGCAUGCUGCACUUGUCAGUAAACAAGGCGAGAUCUACUCCUGGGGUGAGGAAUCGGGUGGGCGGCUUGGUCAUGGUGUAGAUUGUGAUGUGGCGCAUCCAAAACUCAUUGAUGCUCUUACUCAUAUGAACAUUGAGCUGGUAGCAUGCGGUGAAUACCACACCUGUGCUGUUACACUAUCUGGAGAUCUGUAUACAUGGGGGGACGGCGCCUUCAAAUUUGGGCUUUUGGGUCAUGGUAAUGAUGUCAGUCAGUGGGUACCAAAAAAGCUGCAUGGGCCACUGGAGGGUAUACAUGUUUCAUCAAUUUCAUGUGGCCCUUGGCAUACAGCCAUAGUAACUUCUGCUGGGCAGCUGUUCACAUUUGGAGAUGGCUCUUUUGGGGUUCUAGGCCAUGGAGACCGUGAGAGUCUCUCAGUCCCCAAGGAAGUGGAAUCUCUCAAAGGGCUUCGGACAGUGCGGGCUGCUUGUGGUGUUUGGCACACUGCUGCAGUUGUAGAAGUCAUGGUUGGGAAUUCAAGCUCUAGCAAUUGUUCAUCUGGCAAGAUAUUUACAUGGGGCGAUGGCGAUAAAGGCCGUUUAGGACAUGGUGAUAAGGAAUCGAGACUUGUCCCGACAUGUGUGGCUGCUUUGGUGGAGCCCAAUUUUUGUCAGGUUGCUUGCGGUCAUUCCUUGACAGUGGCUCUUACAACAUCAGGAAAUGUGUACACAAUGGGGAGUGCUGUAUAUGGCCAACUUGGAAAUCCACAAGCAGACGGUAUGCUUCCUGUACGUGUUGAAGGAAAGCUACACAAAAACUUUGUCGAGGAGAUCUCCUGUGGUGCUUAUCAUGUAGCUGUUUUGACCUCUAAGACCGAGGUCUACACAUGGGGUAAAGGUGCAAAUGGUCGGUUAGGUCAUGGCAAUACUGAUGACAAGAAUACUCCUACGUUGGUUGAAGCGCUAAAAGAUAAGCAAGUCAGAAGUGUUGUUUGUGGAACUAAUUUCACUGCAGCAGUAUGCAUUCAUAAAUGGGUAUCUGGAGUUGAUCAAUCAAUGUGCUCAGGAUGCCGUCAGCCUUUUAACUUGAGGAGAAAACGUCAUAACUGCUAUAAUUGUGCUCUGGUAUUUUGUCAUUCCUGUAGCAGUAAAAAAUCUCUGAAGGCUUCAUUGGCACCAAAUCAAAGUAAACCCUAUCGUGUUUGUGAUAGCUGCUACAGCAAGCUGACUAAGGGACCCGGAUCAGACAUGUACUCUUCAGCUAAGCAGGGAGCUGUUGUACAGGGCUUCAGUGACACGGUUGAUGAGGAGCUGGAAACAAGGUCAAAUGCUAAAUUGUCAAGAAUAUCUUCGAUGGAAUCUUUUAAGAACAUGGACAGUAGAUAUUCAAAGAAAAACAAGAAGUUCGAAUUUAACAGCACUCGCGUGUCCCCUGUUCCAAAUGGCGGUUCAAGAUCCUUCAAUCCUGUGUUUGGAUCUUCAAAAAAGUUUUUAUCAGCAUCUGUCCCUGGAUCCAGAAUUAUUUCUAGGGCCACAUCACCUGUUUCAAGAAGGUCAAGUCCUCCACGUUCUAUAACACCAACACCUACUUUGAGGAGUCUAACUUCUCCUGGAGGUGUCAUCAAUGGCACCAAGACGACAAAUGAUAGCCAAACUCAAGAAGUUCUAAGUUUGAAGUCCCAGGUGGACAAUCUUACUAGGAAGUCUCAACAUCUCGAACUUGAGUUGGAGAGAACUACCAAGCAAUUGAAGGAAGCUAUUGCCAUUGCUGGGGAGGAAACCGCGAAGUGCAAGGCAGCGAAGGAAGUAAUCAAGUCACUGACUGUACAAUUGAAGGGGAUGGCCGAGAGGUUACCUGGAGGAGUAGCCAAGAACGGCAAGCUACCACCCCUUCCUGGAAUUCCUAUACCAAGUGACAUAUCAGCCAUAGUCACCGAAAGUUUGGGCAGCCCAGGAAGUUCCGGAGAACAAGAACAAAUUUCAGAUUGUCCUAAUGGAUUGCUUGUUUCUAAUGGAUCAAGUUCUGUAAGGAACAAGGCAGGCCAUCCAGAAAUGACCAAUAAUGGAAGUGUACCACCCGAUGCAGAAUCCCAACACGAGGCCGAAUGGGUAGAGCAAGACGAACCAGGUGUCUAUAUCACUCUCACUGCCUUGCCUGGAGGGGCCAGAGAUCUCAAGCGAGUUCGGUUCAGCCGUAAGAGGUUCAGUGAGACACAGGCGGAACAAUGGUGGCAGGGGAACAGGGCAAGGGUGUACCAGCAGUACAAUGUUCACAUGGUUGACAAAUCGGUUGCCGCCAUGGAUCGCGAUAUUGCGACUCAUUGA